AUAUCAAAGGAUGAGACAAUACUGCAACAAUAUGAGCGAUGAUCUGAUUCUUAGUAUUUAAGUCUCUGAUCAUC
rnacentral:snoRNA from 1 species